rnacentral:rRNA from 1 species
AGUGAACGCUGGCGGUAGGCCUAACACAUGCAAGUCGAACGGCAGCACAGUAAGAGCUUGCUCUUACGGGUGGCGAGUGGCGGACGUGUGAGGAAUACAUCGGAAUCUACUUUUUCGUGGGGGAUAACGUAGGUAAACUUACGCUAAUACCGCAUACGACCUACGGGUGAAAGCAGGGGAUCUUCUGACCGUGUGCGAUUGAAUGAGCCGAUGUCGGAUUAGCUAGUUGGCGGGGUAAAGGCCCACCAAGGCGACGAUCCGUAGCUGGUCUGAGAGGCUGAUCAGCCACACUGGAACUGAGACACGGUCCAGACUCCUACGGGAGGCAGCAGUGGGGAAUAUUGGACAAUGGGCGCAAGCCUGAUCCAGCCAUACCGCGUGGGUGAAGAAGGCCUUCGGGUUGUAAAGCCCUUUUGUUGGGAAAGAAAAGCAGCAGGUUAAUACCCCGCUGUUCUGACGGUACCCAAAGAAUAAGCACCGGCUAACUUCGUG